ensembl:lincRNA linc-111 ncRNA
AUUCAAAACAAGAGAGAGCAGAUUAACAUCGAUUGCGGAAUAUCAAUAACAAUACUGAUGCCGAACUUGAGACAUAUACCACAGCACCAAUCUCAAAAAUAAUGGAAGAACACCGCCUGAUUCAAAGACUCCUCAACUCAAUCAAGGUGUAUCAAAAAGCUUUGGAGAUUUUCAAAAUUGUUGCCGAAUGUUGAAAUCAUCCUAGAUUUGAAGCACAGCGUGUAUGAAAGCAUUGCUGGAGCUAUCGAAAAAAUUACUGGUUUGAUUGAGCUGACCAAAGCUCGAUAGGAGAACCACCGAAACGAGUUCAAGCUCACCAAUGAUGAAGCUGACGAGGAAGAAGCUUGAGGAGUCUACCGGAGAUGCUACUUUGUGCGAGCCUAGUAUCACAAGCACAACUGCUGAUUUCGGAGAAAACGCUUUUUAUAUAAGUUGUUGCCCAAAAGCAAGCUCUUCACUUGUUUUCAACCUCUGUAUUGUUUUAUAUCCUUAAAAAUCAUAAAACUUCUUUAAUU